UACGGGGGGGCAAGCGUUGUUCGGAAUUACUGGGCGUAAAGGGCUCGUAGGCGGCCAACUAAGUCAGACGUGAAAUCCCUCGGCUUAACCGGGGAACUGCGUCUGAUACUGGAUGGCUUGAGUUUGGGAGAGGGAUGCGGAAUUCCAGGUGUAGCGGUGAAAUGCGUAGAUAUCUGGAGGAACACCGGUGGCGAAGGCGGCAUCCUGGACCAACACUGACGCUGAGGAGCGAAAGCCAGGGGAGCAAAACGGG
rnacentral:rRNA from 1 species